CAGCAGCCACGGGAAAACGAAGGGGGCUAGCGCUGUUCGGAUUUACUGGGCGUAAAGGGUGCGUAGGCGGACUGAUAAGUCAGGGGUGAAAUCCCAAGGCUCAACCUUGGAACUGCCUUUGAUACUGUUAGUCUUGAGUUCGAGAGAGGUGAGUGGAACCGCGAGUGUAGAGGUGAAAUUCGUAGAUAUUCGCAAGAACACCAGUGGCGAAGACGGCUCACUGGCUCGAAACUGACGCUGAGGCACGAAAGCGUGGGGAGCAAACAGGAUUAGAGACCCCAGUAGUCCCUGUCUCUUAUAC
rnacentral:rRNA from 1 species